AGCUAGAAGGGACUUUUUAUUGAAAGGCGAGGCUCCGGCCUCUGAUGGGAGCUACAACUGGAUCUCGCGGAACGCCCGCUUCUCCCCCAGCUUCACCUUGUACCUGGGUUUGAACUUGGCUCUCUGUCGAGGCUGGAUCAUAUUCCUCCUCUGGAAGCUCUUGAACCGGCCUCGAAGGAUGUCGCCCUCGGGCUUCAGGGUCCUGAGCGAGUCUGCCAGCUCCGAGCUCAGCUGCACGUCGAUGUCAGGUGCCUGGUACUUGAGCCGCCCCAGCCUUCGGGGCUUGUCAGCCUCGGCCUUCCGCCGUGCCUGCCGCUGCCUCCGCCGCCGCGCCAGCUCCGCCAGCCUCAGGGCCACCUGGGCCUUGAUCCCGCGCAGCAGGAACACCUCCCGGUGCCGGGGCCGGAGCCUGGCAGUCCGCAACGCGGCCUGCUGUACCCGCAGCCUGCGCGCAGCCUUCUCCCGCCGCCGCUGCUGCUCCGUCUCCUUCUCUGUGGCGGCCAGGCGGGUGGGCGUGGGACAGACCUCGGCAUCCCCAGCCUCCGGCCCCUCGCCCUGGCCUGGCUCCCCCGGACCCUCUGACUCCUCCAGCAGCCCCUCGCACGGCUACCUGGAACGUGGACUCCUGGGUGGCGGCCUGCUCUGUGGCGGGCAGGGCCAGCUGCCGCUCCAGCUUCUCCGCCUCCUUCUGCCGCUGCAACUCCACCUCGUGGGCCGCUGAGAGCAGGGUCUGGUGGUCUUCAAAGUACGGGUUGUAGGAAGCUCCGGCAGGCGCCACCUCCACGGCGGGUGCCUGGGACGGCUUGGUGUGCAGGCGUGGUGGCCGCUUCACUCCUUUCUUCUUGGUCUGCUCCAGGAAAAACUCAUCCUGGCCAAACAAUGGCCAGUCCAGGGGGUUGUCUGAUGCCCAGAGUUCGUAGAAGGGCCGCUCCACGGUGUCCUGGGGCCCGGGCUUGGCCCCGGCUGUGGGAGGGUUGAGGAGCCGGGCCUGGCCGCACGUCUUCCAGGAACUGGUCAACCUCCAGCCCCAGCGGCUCCUGCGCAAGCCUCCGCCAGUCCCACUUCUUAUUUCUUGGGCCUCGCCGCCGCCGCCGCCUCAGCGCUGGGUCCGCCGAAAUGGGCCGCAGCCCCAGGAAACCAGAAUCGUUAUCGCUUUUCGAGCUGUGCUUCCCACCAAC
rnacentral:lncRNA from 1 species